rnacentral:rRNA from 1 species
GUGGGGAAUUUUGGACAAUGGGCGCAAGCCUGAUCCAGCAAUGCCGCGUGCAGGAAGAAGGCCUUCGGGUUGUAAACUGCUUUUGUACGGAACGAAACGGUCCUGGUUAAUACCUGGGGCUAAUGACGGUACCGUAAGAAUAAGCACCGGCUAACUACGUGCCAGCAGCCGCGGUAAUACGUAGGGUGCGAGCGUUAAUCGGAAUUACUGGGCGUAAAGCGUGCGCAGGCGGUGCUGUAAGACAGGCGUGAAAUCCCCGGGCUCAACCUGGGAAUUGCGCUUGUGACUGCAGUGCUGGAGUACGGCAGAGGGGGAUGGAAUUCCGCGUGUAGCAGUGAAAUGCGUAGAUAUGCGGAGGAACACCGAUGGCGAAGGCAAUCCCCUGGGCCUGCACUGACGCUCAUGCACGAAAGCGUGGGGAGCAAACAGGAUUAGAUACCCUUGUAGUCC